AUUGAACGCUGGCGGUAGGCCUAACACAUGCAAGUCGAACGGCAGCACAGUAAGAGCUGGCUCUUACGGGUGGCGAGUGGCGGACGGGUGUGGAAUACAGCGGAAUCUACUUUUUCGUGGGGGAUAACGUGGAGAAACUUACGCUAAUACCGCAUACGAGCUACGGGUGAAAGCAGGAGAUCUUCGGACCUUGCCCGAUUGAAUGAGCCGAUGUCGGAUUAGCUAGUUGGCGGGGUAAAGGCCCACCAAGGCGACGAUCCGUAGCUGGUCUGAGAGGAUGAUCAGCCACACUGGAACUGAGACACGGUCCAGACUCCUACGGGAGGCAGCAGUGGGGAAUAUUGGACAAUGGGCGCAAGCCUGAUCCAGCCAUACCGCGUGUGUGAAGAAGGCCUUCGGGUUGUAAAGCACUUUUGUUGGGAAAGAAAAGCAGCAGGUUAAUACGUCGAUGUUCUGACGGUACCCACAGAAUAAGCACCGGCUAACUUCGUG
rnacentral:rRNA from 1 species